UGUUAGCGAUACAAAUCUCGCUUUUGUGGGAAAACUCCGUAGUAGAAGUAGAUUAACCAGAAGUGGUUGGAAAUGGUUACGUGUUCUGUACCUGGAUUUAACUCAUCCAAGAAAGAAGAUCUUCAGAAUUACUUUCACACAUAAUCUUGACGAUAGUUGCGAUCAAGACAAAUAAUAUACCUAGACGAUACAUACAUUUCAGUAGCUCAAACAGUCAUAAAAGAUGCUUUUGAAAGUAUAAUAACAGAACAUUGAAAGACAAUGACAGAGCAUAUUCUUCAUGUUGAAGUUCAGAACAAAACGUGGGAUGGAAUAAUGGAAAACGUGGGAUGGAAAGAAGAGCUAGAACCAUUGAUCAGGAGUGUGCAGGAUGAUAGUUCCAGUAGUAGUUCAGACGAAUCUAUGGAAAUAGAAAUUUUAAAAUCAGCUUUUGAUUAUAAUGUAUAAUGUCUAUUUAUCUUC